rnacentral:rRNA from 1 species
GGGCCCGCACAAGCGGUGGAGCAUGUGGUUUAAUUCGAUGAUACGCGAGGAACCUUACCAGGGCUUAAAUGUAGAACGACCGAUUUGGAAACAAGUCCUCUCUUUGAGCGGUCUACAAGGUGCUGCAUGGUUGUCGUCAGCUCGUGCCGUGAGGUGUCGGGUUAAGUCCCUUAACGAGCGCAACCCCUAUCUCUAGUUGCCAGCGGAUAAUGCCGGGGACUCUAGAGAAACUGCCCGCGCAAGCGGUGAGGAAGGCGGGGAUGACGUCAAAUCAUCACGGCCCUUACGUCCUGGGCUACACACGUGCUACAAUGGUCGGUACAAAGGGCAGCUACCACGUAAGUGGAUG